UAGCCUUUCGAAAGAAAGAUUAAUAUCCGAUAGCAUAUAUUUCCCGCAUGGGUUUUAUAUUAAAGAAAUUCGGUAUGAGAUGGGGAUGCGUUCCAUUAGUUUGUUGGGGGGGUAACGGCCCACCAAGACUACGAUGGAUAGGGGUUCUGAGAGGAAGGUCCCCCACAUUGGAACUGAGACACGGUCCAAACUCCUACGGGAGGCAGCAGUGAGGAAUAUUGGUCAAUGGACGCGAGUCUGAACCAGCCAAGUAGCGUGAAGGAUGACUGCCCUAUGGGUUGUAAACUUCUUUUAUAUGGGAAUAAAGUUGUCCACGUGUGGAUUUUUGUAUGUACCAUAUGAAUAAGGAUCGGCUAACUCCGUGCCAGCAGCCGCGGUAAUACGGAGGAUCCGAGCGUUAUCCGGAUUUAUUGGGUUUAAAGGGAGCGUAGGCGGAUUGUUAAGUCAGUUGUGAAAGUUUGCGGCUCAACCGUAAAAUUGCAGUUGAUACUGGCAGUCUUGAGUGCAGUAGAGGUGGGCGGAAUUCGUGGUGUAGCGGUGAAAUGCUUAGAUAUCACGAAGAACUCCGAUUGCGAAGGCAGCUCACUGGAGUGUAACUGACGCUGAUGCUCGAAAGUGUGGGUAUCAAACAGGAUUAGAUACCCUGGUAGUCCACACAGU
rnacentral:rRNA from 1 species